rnacentral:misc_RNA from 1 species
UUUAUUGACUUUUUUAUAUUUUUAUUUUGAUUAAAAAGUUUUUAUAUUAUUAAAUAUGUAUCUUAAACCCAAUACAGCGGCAAUUGAGUAUUUUUAAAAUUGAGAUUAUGUUGUAAUAUAUUAUAAAUAUGCUUUAACAUAUAAAUCGACCUAAUGUUUUUUUAUUCUUAUUAAUUAUGACUUAGAACAAUUUAACAAAUUGGGACCAGGAUGAGUUGAACAUCCGACCUCAGGUUUUCAGACA